rnacentral:rRNA from 1 species
GGCAGGAGCUCAAAUUUGAAAUCUGGGGUCCCCGACCUCCGAGUUGUAAUUUGGAGAGGCAUCUUCGGGGGGGAGCGCCGGCCCAUGUUCCUUGGAACAGGACGUCGCAGAGGGUGAGAAUCCCGUGCCAGGCCGGCUCCCUCCUCCCGCGUGAAGGGCCUUCGACGAGUCGAGUUGUUUGGGAAUGCAGCUCCAAGUGGGUGGUAAGUUUCAUCUAAAGCUAAAUACCGGCGGGAGACCGAUAGCGCACAAGUAGAGUGAUCGAAAGAUGAAAAGCACUUUGAAAAUAGAGUCAAAAAGUACGUGAAAUUGUUGAAAGGGAAGCGCUUGAGACCAGACUCAGGCCCGGGCAAACACCGCGCCCCCCGGGGCCGUGCAAUUGCCUGGGGCUGGGCCAGCAUCAGUCGGCGUGGCGGGACAAAGGCGCGGGGAAUGUGGCUCCCCUCGGGGAGUGUUAUCAGCCCCGCGCUCAAUGCCGCCGACGCCGACUGAGGACCGCGCCUCGGCUAGGAUGCUGGCUUAAUGGCCUUCAGCGACCCGUCUUGAAACACGGA